GACGAACGCUGGCGGCGUGCUUAACACAUGCAAGUCGAACGGAAAGGCCCUGCUUUUGUGGUGUUCUCGAGUGGCGAACGGGUGCGUAACACGUGAGUAACCUGCCCUAGAUUUUGGGAUAACUUCAGGAAACUGGGCCUACUACAGGAUAGCAUACCCUCCUGCGUGGUGGGCGUUGGAUAUUUUCGGCGGUUGGGGAUGGAUUGGCGGCUUUUGGGUUUGCUGGUGGGGUAGUGGUUGACCAAGGCUUUGGCUGGUCGCCGGCAUGAGAGGGUGACCGGGGACAAGGGGACUGAGAUAGGCAGCAGACGCCUAUGGGAGGCAGCAGUGGGGAGUAUGGCACAAUGAGCGGAAGUCUGAGGAAGCAGCGCCGGGUGCGUGAUGACGGCCUUCUGGGUGUAAACCGCUGUCGCCUGUGACGAAGCGGGAGUGACGGUAAUGGGUAAAGAAGCACCGGCUAACUACGUG
rnacentral:rRNA from 1 species